GGGUUGUGAGGUUAAGCGACUAAGCGUACACGGUGGAUGCCCUGGCAGUCAGAGGCGAUGAAGGACGUGCUAAUCUGCGAUAAGCGUCGGUGAGGUGAUAUGAACCGUUAUAACCGGCGAUUUCCGAAUGGGGAAACCCAGUGUGUUUCGACACACUAUCAUUAACUGAAUCCAUAGGUUAAUGAGGCGAACCGGGGGAACUGAAACAUCUAAGUACCCCGAGGAAAAGAAAUCAACCGAGAUUCCCCCAGUAGCGGCGAGCGAACGGGGAGGAGCCCAGAGCCUGAAUCAGUGUGUGUGUUAGUGGAAGCGUCUGGAAAGGCGCGCGAUACAGGGUGACAGCCCCGUACACAAAAAUGCACAUAUUGUGAGCUCGAUGAGUAGGGCGGGACACGUGGUAUCCUGUCUGAAUAUGGGGGGACCAUCCUCCAAGGCUAAAUACUCCUGACUGACCGAUAGUGAACCAGUACCGUGAGGGAAAGGCGAAAAGAACCCCGGCGAGGGGAGUGAAAAAGAACCUGAAACCGUGUACGUACAAGCAGUGGGAGCCUCUUAAUGGGGUGACUGCGUACCUUUUGUAUAAUGGGUCAGCGACUUAUAUUCUGUAGCAAGGUUAACCGAAUAGGGGAGCCGAAGGGAAACCGAGUCUUAACUGGGCGUUAAGUUGCAGGGUAUAGACCCGAAACCCGGUGAUCUAGCCAUGGGCAGGUUGAAGGUUGGGUAACACUAACUGGAGGACCGAACCGACUAAUGUUGAAAAAUUAGCGGAUGACUUGUGGCUGGGGGUGAAAGGCCAAUCAAACCGGGAGAUAGCUGGUUCUCCCCGAAAGCUAUUUAGGUAGCGCCUCGUGAAUUCAUCUCCGGGGGUAGAGCACUGUUUCGGCAAGGGGGUCAUCCCGACUUACCAACCCGAUGCAAACUGCGAAUACCGGAGAAUGUUAUCACGGGAGACACACGGCGGGUGCUAACGUCCGUCGUGAAGAGGGAAACAACCCAGACCGCCAGCUAAGGUCCCAAAGUCAUGGUUAAGUGGGAAACGAUGUGGGAAGGCCCAGACAGCCAGGAUGUUGGCUUAGAAGCAGCCAUCAUUUAAAGAAAGCGUAAUAGCUCACUGGUCGAGUCGGCCUGCGCGGAAGAUGUAACGGGGCUAAACCAUGCACCGAAGCUGCGGCAGCGACACUAUGUGUUGUUGGGUAGGGGAGCGUUCUGUAAGCCUGUGAAGGUGUACUGUGAGGUAUGCUGGAGGUAUCAGAAGUGCGAAUGCUGACAUAAGUAACGAUAAAGCGGGUGAAAAGCCCGCUCGCCGGAAGACCAAGGGUUCCUGUCCAACGUUAAUCGGGGCAGGGUGAGUCGACCCCUAAGGCGAGGCCGAAAGGCGUAGUCGAUGGGAAACAGGUUAAUAUUCCUGUACUUGGUGUUACUGCGAAGGGGGGACGGAGAAGGCUAUGUUGGCCGGGCGACGGUUGUCCCGGUUUAAGCGUGUAGGCUGGUUUUCCAGGCAAAUCCGGAAAAUCAAGGCUGAGGCGUGAUGACGAGGCACUACGGUGCUGAAGCGACAAAUGCCCUGCUUCCAGGAAAAGCCUCUAAGCAUCAGGUAACAUCAAAUCGUACCCCAAACCGACACAGGUGGUCAGGUAGAGAAUACCAAGGCGCUUGAGAGAACUCGGGUGAAGGAACUAGGCAAAAUGGUGCCGUAACUUCGGGAGAAGGCACGCUGAUAUGUAGGUGAAGCGACUUGCUCGUGGAGCUGAAAUCAGUCGAAGAUACCAGCUGGCUGCAACUGUUUAUUAAAAACACAGCACUGUGCAAACACGAAAGUGGACGUAUACGGUGUGACGCCUGCCCGGUGCCGGAAGGUUAAUUGAU
rnacentral:rRNA from 1 species